rnacentral:rRNA from 1 species
UACAGAGGUCCCGAGCGUUGUUCGGAUUCACUGGGCGUAAAGGGUGCGCAGGUGGUGAGGUAAGUCGGAUGUGAAAUCUCCGAGCUCAACUCGGAAAUGGCAUUGGAAACUACCUUGCUCGAGGGUUGGAGGGGGGACUGGAAUACUUGGUGUAGCAGUGAAAUGCGUAGAUAUCAAGUGGAACACCAGUGGCGAAGGCGAGUCCCUGGACAACUCCUGACACUGAGGCACGAAAGCUAGGGGAGCAAACAGG